rnacentral:rRNA from 1 species
UACGUAGGGUGCAAGCGUUAAUCGGAAUUACUGGGCGUAAAGCGUGCGCAGGCGGUUUUGUAAGUCUGUUGUGAAGUCCCCGGGCUUAACCUGGGAAUGGCAAUGGAGACUGCAAGGCUAGAGUUUGGCAGAGGGGGGUAGAAUUCCACGUGUAGCAGUGAAAUGCGUAGAGAUGUGGAGGAACACCGAUGGCGAAGGCAGCCCCCUGGGUCAAAACUGACGCUCAUGCACGAAAGCGUGGGGAGCAAACAGG